rnacentral:rRNA from 1 species
UCUGGUUGAUUCUGCCAGUAGUCAUAUGCUUGUCUCAAAGAUUAAGCCAUGCAUGUCUAAGUAUAAGCACUUUAUACUGUGAAACUGCGAAUGGCUCAUUAAAUCAGUUAUCGUUUAUUUGAUAGUACCUUACUACAUGGAUACCUGUGGUAAUUCUAGAGCUAAUACAUGCUAAAAACCUCGACUUCGGAAGGGGUGUAUUUAUUAGAUAAAAAACCAAUGCCCUUCGGGGCUCCUUGGUGAUUCAUAAUAACUUAACGAAUCGCAUGGCCUUGCGCCGGGCGAUGGUUCAUUCAAAUUUCUGCCCUAUCAACUUUCGAUGGUAGGAUAGUGGCCUACCAUGGUGGCAACGGGUAACGGGGAAUUAGGGUUCGAUUCCGGAGAGGGAGCGUGAGAAACGGCUACCACAUCCAAGGAAGGCAGCAGGCGCGCAAAUUACCCAAUCCCGACACGGGGAGGUAGUGACAAUAAAUACUGAUACGGGGCUCUUUUGGGUCUCGUAAUUGGAAUGAGUACAAUCUAAAUCCCUUAACGAGGAACAAUUGGAGGGCAAGUCUGGUGCCAGCAGCCGCGGUAAUUCCAGCUCCAAUAGCGUAUAUUAAAGUUGUUGCAGUUAAAAAGCUCGUAGUUGAACCUUGGGUCUGGCUGGCCGGUCCGCCUCACCGCGAGUACUGGUCCGGCUGGACCUUUCCUUCUGGGGAACCUCAUGGCCUUCACUGGCUGUGGGGGGAACCAGGACUUUUACUGUGAAAAAAUUAGAGUGUUCAAAGCAGGCCUUUGCUCGAAUACAUUAGCAUGGAAUAAUAGAAUAGGACGUGCGGUUCUAUUUUGUUGGUUUCUAGGACCGCCGUAAUGAUUAAUAGGGAUAGUCGGGGGCGUCAGUAUUCAGCUGUCAGAGGUGAAAUUCUUGGAUUUGCUGAAGACUAACUACUGCGAAAGCAUUCGCCAAGGAUGUUUUCAUUAAUCAGGGAACGAAAGUUAGGGGAUCGAAGACGAUCAGAUACCGUCGUAGUCUUAACCAUAAACUAUGCCGACUAGGGAUCGGGCGGUGUUUCUAUGAUGACCCGCUCGGCACCUUACGAGAAAUCAAAGUUUUUGGACU